CACGGGGUUGCGAGCGUUGUCCGGAAUUACUAGGCGUAAAGGGCAGGCAGGCGGAUCCAUAAGUUUAUCGUUUAAGGCGUCGGCUUAACCGGCGUAGGGCGGUAGAUACUGUGGAUCUGGAAUGCGGUUGGGGAAGACAGAAUUCCUGGUGUAGCGGUGGAAUGCGCAGAGAUCAGGAGGAAUACCGAAGGCGAAGGCAGUCUUCCAAGCCGUUAUUGACGCUCAGGCACGAAGGCGUGGGGAUCAAACAGGGAUUAGAUACCCGUGUAGUCCCUGA
rnacentral:rRNA from 1 species